rnacentral:rRNA from 1 species
GAUGAACGCUGGCGGCGUGCCUAAUACAUGCAAGUCGAGCGAACCACUUCGGUGGUGAGCGGCGAACGGGUGAGUAACACGUAGGUUAUCUGCCCAUCAGACGGGGACAACGAUUGGAAACGAUCGCUAAUACCGGAUAGGACGAAAGUUUAAAGGUGCUUCGGCACCACUGAUGGAUGAGCCUGCGGCGCAUUAGCUAGUUGGUAGGGUAAAGGCCUACCAAGGCGACGAUGCGUAGCCGACCUGAGAGGGUGAACGGCCACACUGGGACUGAGACACGGCCCAGACUCCUACGGGAGGCAGCAGUAGGGAAUCUUCGGCAAUGGGCGGAAGCCUGACCGAGCAACGCCGCGUGAAUGAUGAAGGCCUUCGGGUUGUAAAAUUCUGUUAUAAGGGAAGAAUGGCUCUAGUAGGAAAUGGCUAGAGUGUGACGGUACCUUAUGAGAAAGCCACGGCUAACUACGUGCCAGCAGCCGCAGUAAGAC